rnacentral:snoRNA from 1 species
CCGAUGGACGAUGAAGAACUCAUCUCUCACAUCUGCAAUGAUCUCGACUCCGAGUACAACCCGGUGGUGACAGCGAUUGCCGCAAGGGUUGAGGUGAUCUCGAUCCCUGAGCUCUACUCUCAACUCCUCAGUUUCAAGA